GUUGACACCCUGAAGAAUGUGCAAAUCUAUCUUCUCAUGUUUUUCCAAAACCUCACUCUCCAAUCCUGAGCCGGGGAUAUUGAUAUCGUUGAUAUCCAGGAACAGUUUGUGUGUGGCUUCCAACCAAGCUGCAGCUAGCUUAUGAGAAGAAGCAAGAUUAUCACCGAAGAGAGUCAUGAGACUGUGGGUCUGCAAGUUGGCGCAUUGUCUCACACUUGACCCUUAGAAUACUUGGACCAGCUUCUGAAAGGUACAUUUGGAAGGCCAAAAGGAAGGAGAAAGAGAGGAGAGGCAUGGCCGGCUCCCAGGGAUGAGAGCUCAUCUAUCUUGAGGUUUUUCUUCAAUCUCCAAGGCCAUGUAGAAGUGACUUGGGCAAUUUCCUCUAUGUUGGUAGACUAGGCUGUGAGCAGUAGCCUAUAAAUCCAAGGUCCUGGCCUGCCUCAGUUGCUG
rnacentral:lncRNA from 1 species